ensembl:lincRNA 4930509G22Rik RIKEN cDNA 4930509G22 gene
ACCUGGGUGCUGUACCGGAUAGGUGCAUUUGCUGAAGAACUGUUUUAGGCUCCUGCCUCCCAAGGGCUGGCAUUAAAAGUUCAUCACUAUCCCAGUCUUUAUUCUGUUUUCCAUCCUCUGGUACCUUACAGAGGCCCGGAACACACAGUGUUUUAUGAUCUCUAUGAGAUUGAGGCCAGCCUGGUCUAUGUAGAGUUCUAGCCAGGGCAAUGGAGUGAGACCCAGUAUCAAAACAACAUAAACUGUCCACAUGCUGACUUGCCUUAACAUCAAUUUAUACCUGAAACUAAAUGCAAGCUAACCAUUAGUCAGUUCAUUAGAAAUAGGGUCAAUUUACACAAAGGACAGGGGAGAAUAUUCAGGAGUCAAUGGGACAGAUUUUAUAUUUGAUUCAUCAGUUUAUCCAGUAAUUAUAUGCCCCCAAACAGGUGAUGGGAUAGAAAGCCUUGCAUGUGCUAGACAAGCUCCCUGCCACUGAGCUAUAGCCACAGACCUUUUAAAGCUUAUUUUUAUUUUUUAAAUAUUUUUUAAAAACUUUUAUGUGCAUUGGUGUUUUAUCUACAUAUAUAUCUGUAUUUAUGUGUCAGACCACAGGGCGUCAGAUCUCUUAGAACUGGAGUUGCAGCUACUUGUGGGUGCUGAGAAUUGAACCAGGUUCCCCUAGAAGAGCACCCAUUGCUCUUAACCUCUGAGCAAUCUCUCCAGCCCCAAAAUUUAUUUUUAUUAAUGUGCAUGUGUGUGUGUGUAGGCAUACAAGCCCCAUGAAGCUGGAGAGGUGCCAAGAUACCCCCAAGACUACUCGAACAGGCUUACCUGCCUUUUCAAGUUUCUGUCUUUCAAGACACAAGCAGCCAAACGCCACCCUGCAAGGGAAAAAAAAAGCCCAACAUCAAGCCAUACAAUCCCACCAAUCCCUCAGCUUGCCCCAAGAUCAGGUCACAAAAUCCCACCAAUCUGACACCACCUCGUAAGUCUUCACCCACUCCCCCCAAGAAACCCUAUAUACAGCCUGCCUCCUGCUCAGUCCUGUGCUGGGUCCCACUAGAAACCCUAUAUACAGCCUGCCUCCUGCUCAGUCCUGUGCUGGGUCUCACUAGAGCAAGGGCUGUCACCCUCUUCUGUUUUUCCCAUGUGAGGUUUCUUGUACAGUGUGACUUUGUGGUAUUUCUUGGCUCCUUACUGCCAGGAUACCUUUCCCCUUAGAGCUCUUUCAUUUACAUAUGCAUACACAUGAACCGAAUCGGGAACAGAGUGUGGGUUUCCCCACUAAGUUCUAUCAUUUGGAGGCCCCAGCGAGAUCUGCGUGACACCCAGGAACCCUGAAAGACCCCUUGGAGNNNNNNNNNNNNNNNNNNNNNNNNNNNNNNNNNNNNNNNNNNNNNNNNNGUCUGGUUUUGCUCUCAAGGGGUUGACUGAUUAUCUUGGUUUGGCCCCAAGAGACUUUUCACUCCUGCUGGUCGGGUGAAGGAUUUCCAGCAGUCUAUGUCCCUGUACAAAGACCAGCAUCUGGCAGUCAUGGGGCCAAAACAGUUGAAAAUGAUACCCAUGCAAAUUCAACAAGACCUCUGAUUGGACACUGAAGCCUGAAACCUGCUUGCUCAGGGUGGAGCUUCCUGCUCAUUCGUUCUGCCACGCCCACUGCUGGAACCUGCGGAGCCACACACGNNNNNNNNNNNNNNNNNNNNNNNNNNNNNNNNNNNNNNCUCUCGCCACCUAGCCCCUCUUCUCUUCCAGGUUUCCAAAAUGCCUUUCCAGGCUAGAACCCAGGUUGUGGUCUGCUGGCCGGACACAACAAUAAAACAGUUAUGAUAGAUUAAAAACUUUCCCAACAAUAAAAUUUCAUAUGGCUACACCUGUGUUAUCAGAGGUGGGUUUUGGUAUAUGGUAAAGAAAGUCUUAAUUAGAAAGAAUUAGUUUAAAUUUAUGCAUUGAAGAUUUAUAAAAAAUCAGGCACUAGAUGUUGAAUAAUUGACCAUAUGGGGCUGGAGAGCUAGCUCAGUGAUUAAGAGCACUAUCAUAAAGAUUAACCUGCUCUUGCAAAUAUGCCAGUAGCCUUGAAUGACUGCCUCACUGAAUACAUCCUUUUAGAAUUGUUAUAUUUUGAUGAUUUAUAUUAAUAAUGAUGUUACCUGUUCUGUAUGUGAUUCACUGAAUACAUAGUUUCAGAGUUGUAAUGCUUGGAUGAUUUUUGUUGGUAUUUGUGAUUGAUUCACUGGAUACAGUUUCUAAGAGAUGCAAUGUUUGGAUUUUAAUGUAUAAAAUCCCCUGCUUGAGAGCUCCAAAAUACAGUCGGAUUCAAAUUGC